rnacentral:lncRNA from 1 species
AAGAAACACAAAGAAAUCAUAAAUUAAAUUCAAAGAAAUAUAAUAAAAAAAUUUAAAAAAAUAUAAAAAUAAUAAUAAUCUUAAAGACAUAUAUAAAUAAAAACUUUUAAAGAAAAAAUAGAGAAUCCUAAAAAAAUAUUAAAAUUAGAGUCAUAAAUAAAUCCUAAGUAAAUUUUAAAUAAAUCCUAAUUUAAUCCUAAUUAAAAUCUUAAUAAAUCUUAACCAAAUCCUAGAUCAAUUCUAACUAAAUCAUAAUUUAAAUCUUAACCAAAUAUUAAAUCAAAUCCUAACCAAAUUCUAAUCAAAUCCUAGAUCCUAAAUCAAUCCUAAGCAAUCUUUAAUCAAAUCUUAAAUCUUAAAUAAAUUCCUAACAAAUCCUAUUGCAGAUUGAAAAUUCAAUAAAUAAUACUUAAAAUAUUGUUUUUGACUAAAAUUUCAUCCAAAAUUCAACCAACAAGCAAUCAAUAAGCAUACAAAAUUUAAAAAGAAUCAGAUUUAGCAAUCGUAAAAAAAAGCUCUCAAAACCUCUUAGUUAUUGGCCACCUUCUUUUUCCAACUUGAAUAUUCAUCUUACAACAAAAAUUUCUCUUUAUUAAACUAUUCAAAA